ensembl:ncRNA lncRNA:CR44638 long non-coding RNA:CR44638
UCAGUCGUGCGGCAGCUUCAGCGGCGGCCGCCUCGAAAGGCGAAGCAGAAACAAAAGACUCAGGCAACGAACUUGCUGCAGGCAAUGCUGCUGCAAAUUGUUUCCCCUUAGUGCGUGGGAGUUUUCGCUGGGUUUUGCUCGGUUUUGUUUUUCAGCACAACUAAUGAGCUGGAUUAUGCCCCCGACUUCACAAAUGUGUCCGUUUGGAUUGGCGUUGACAUGGAUUCAAGUCGGAUAAGCUGCAAUUGAGCUGUGAGCACAGCGAGGGAAAAAGAGUUUUAAGAUACGUUAUCUUCCUUGCUGGGAAAGAUACGCUCUGGUGUCGAAAAUGUUGAUUGUUAUUAAACUGAGCAUUAGUAACGGCUUGUAGUUGCUUUGCGAAUCAAAAUUACCUAAAGAUCUCUUCAACAUUCAUUUAUGGGUGAAACAUUGCUCCAAUUUAAAUGAGAUC